GGUUAAGCGACUAAGCGUACACGGUGGAUGCCCUGGCAGUCAGAGGCGAUGAAGGGCGUGCUAAUCUGCGAUAAGCGCCGGUAAGGUGAUAUGAACCGUUAUAACCGGCGAUACCCGAAUGGGGAAACCCAGUGUGAUUCGUCACACUAUCAUUAACUGAAUCCAUAGGUUAAUGAGGCGAACCGGGGGAACUGAAACAUCUAAGUACCCCGAGGAAAAGAAAUCAACCGAGAUUCCCCCAGUAGCGGCGAGCGAACGGGGAGGAGCCCAGAGCCUGAAUCAGCAUGUGUGUUAGUGGAAGCGUCUGGAAAGGCGCGCGAUACAGGGUGACAGCCCCGUACACAAAAGCGCAUGUGCUGUGAGCUCGAUGAGUAGGGCGGGACACGUGGUAUCCUGUCUGAAUAUGGGGGGACCAUCCUCCAAGGCUAAAUACUCCUGACUGACCGAUAGUGAACCAGUACCGUGAGGGAAAGGCGAAAAGAACCCCGGCGAGGGGAGUGAAAAAGAACCUGAAACCGUGUACGUACAAGCAGUGGGAGCACAGGUUUACCUGUGUGACUGCGUACCUUUUGUAUAAUGGGUCAGCGACUUAUAUUCUGUAGCAAGGUUAACCGAAUAGGGGAGCCGGAGGGAAACCGAGUCUUAACCGGGCGUUAAGUUGCAGGGUAUAGACCCGAAACCCGGUGAUCUAGCCAUGGGCAGGUUGAAGGUUGGGUAACACUAACUGGAGGACCGAACCGACUAAUGUUGAAAAAUUAGCGGAUGACCUGUGGCUGGGGGUGAAAGGCCAAUCAAACCGGGAGAUAGCUGGUUCUCCCCGAAAGCUAUUUAGGUAGCGCCUCGUGAAUUCAUCUCCGGGGGUAGAGCACUGUUUCGGCUAGGGGGCCAUCCCGGCUUACCAACCCGAUGCAAACUGCGAAUACCGGAGAAUGUUAUCACGGGAGACACACGGCGGGUGCUAACGUCCGUCGUGAAGAGGGAAACAACCCAGACCGCCAGCUAAGGUCCCAAAGUCAUGGUUAAGUGGGAAACGAUGUGGGAAGGCCCAGACAGCCAGGAUGUUGGCUUAGAAGCAGCCAUCAUUUAAAGAAAGCGUAAUAGCUCACUGGUCGAGUCGGCCUGCGCGGAAGAUGUAACGGGGCUAAACCAUGCACCGAAGCUGCGGCAGCGACGCUUAUGCGUUGUUGGGUAGGGGAGCGUUCUGUAAGCCUGUGAAGGUGUGUCGUGAGGCAUGCUGGAGGUAUCAGAAGUGCGAAUGCUGACAUAAGUAACGAUAAAGCGGGUGAAAAGCCCGCUCGCCGGAAGACCAAGGGUUCCUGUCCAACGUUAAUCGGGGCAGGGUGAGUCGACCCCUAAGGCGAGGCCGAAAGGCGUAGUCGAUGGGAAACGGGUUAAUAUUCCCGUACUUGGUGUUACUGCGAAGGGGGGACGGAGAAGGCUAUGUUGGCCGGGCGACGGUUGUCCCGGUUUAAGCGUGUAGGUGUGUGUUCCAGGUAAAUCCGGUUCACUUUAACACUGAGGCGUGACGACGAGGCACUACGGUGCUGAAGCAACAAAUGCCCUGCUUCCAGGAAAAGCCUCUAAGCAUCAGGUAACAUCAAAUCGUACCCCAAACCGACACAGGUGGUCAGGUAGAGAAUACCAAGGCGCUUGAGAGAACUCGGGUGAAGGAACUAGGCAAAAUGGUGCCGUAACUUCGGGAGAAGGCACGCUGACACGUAGGUGAAGUGAUUUACUCAUGGAGCUGAAGUCAGUCGAAGAUACCAGCUGGCUGCAACUGUUUAUUAAAAACACAGCACUGUGCAAACACGAAAGUGGACGUAUACGGUGUGACGCCUGCCCGGUGCCGGAAGGUUAAUUGAUGGGGUCAGCGCAAGCGAAGCUCCUGAUCGAAGCCCCGGUAAACGGCGGCCGUAACUAUAACGGUCCUAAGGUAGCGAAAUUCCUUGUCGGGUAAGUUCCGACCUGCACGAAUGGCGUAAUGAUGGCCAGGCUGUCUCCACCCGAGACUCAGUGAAAUUGAACUCGCUGUGAAGAUGCAGUGUACCCGCGGCAAGACGGAAAGACCCCGUGAACCUUUACUAUAGCUUGACACUGAACAUUGAGCCUUGAUGUGUAGGAUAGGUGGGAGGCUUUGAAGCGUGGACGCCAGUCUGCGUGGAGCCGACCUUGAAAUACCACCCUUUAAUGUUUGAUGUUCUAACGUGGACCCGUUACCCGGGUUGCGGACAGUGUCUGGUGGGUAGUUUGACUGGGGCGGUCUCCUCCUAAAGAGUAACGGAGGAGCACGAAGGUUGGCUAAUCCUGGUCGGACAUCAGGAGGUUAGUGCAAUGGCAUAAGCCAGCUUGACUGCGAGCGUGACGGCGCGAGCAGGUGCGAAAGCAGGUCAUAGUGAUCCGGUGGUUCUGAAUGGAAGGGCCAUCGCUCAACGGAUAAAAGGUACUCCGGGGAUAACAGGCUGAUACCGCCCAAGAGUUCAUAUCGACGGCGGUGUUUGGCACCUCGAUGUCGGCUCAUCACAUCCUGGGGCUGAAGUAGGUCCCAAGGGUAUGGCUGUUCGCCAUUUAAAGUGGUACGCGAGCUGGGUUUAGAACGUCGUGAGACAGUUCGGUCCCUAUCUGCCGUGGGCGCUGGAGAACUGAGGGGGGCUGCUCCUAGUACGAGAGGACCGGAGUGGACGCAUCACUGGUGUUCGGGUUGUCAUGCCAAUGGCACUGCCCGGUAGCUAAAUGCGGAAGAGAUAAGUGCUGAAAGCAUCUAAGCACGAAACUUGCCCCGAGAUGAGUUCUCCCUGAGACUUAGAGUCUCCUGAAGGAACGUUGAAGACGACGACGUUGAUAGGCCGGGUGUGUAAGCGCAGCGAUGCGUUGAGCUAACCGGUACUAAUGAACCGUGAGGCUUAACCUU
rnacentral:rRNA from 1 species